UUAAAAGUUCAGCAGACAGGUGCUCUGCUUUGGAGUGUGACGAUGUCGUCGGUGAUGUGGAGAGUGAAGUUUCCGUUUCACCCACAGCGUGCUUUAGGGCAGCCGGGUCGGACUUGAUGUUUGAAAUACUGACCGACAGCUCAGAUUUAACUGUCUGUAGUUCCGUUUUGAUGGGUGUUAAACUUUCACUGAAAGCCGCCAGGAGCUGGGUCUUUAAAAUAACCGCCGUCUCGUUACAGAGUGAAAGUAGCAGUUCCUCCUUAAGGUCAGAGAUUGCAGCAUCUGAGGGCCUCUUCAAAAGAAGACGGAGUUGAUGAAGGCGUUCUGGAGCAGGACCAGAAAGACCACGACCAAGCAGCCUUGAGAUCUUAGGCAGCAUCUCCCUGAGGUCCCUCUCUAUCUCCCCACACAUCCACCAACCACUGGAACACAUCUCCAAAGUUCUGCCGGGCCAGCUCAGCUUCCCCUCAGAAGAAGUGCUGCCACCUGCCAGAUGAAGGAGCCUUUUGAGAGGCAGCUGGCAUCGUGAUUGGACUGUACUUUGGUCUGUUCCAAUCCAGCUUCAGCUCCAGAGACGGCAGGCGGGACGAGUCAACGGAGGCCUGGUGGACGAAGGCAUGCAGCUGAGUACAAUCCAGAAAACAACAGAGGAGGAGUGCAGCGGCCCAGAGCCAGAACAAACAGAGUAGCAUCGUAUGUCUCUUAGAAAACAUCAUAGUAUAGCCUUUGGUAUGAAAAAACGCCAUCAUAUACAUCGUAUAUUGUACAAAUAACAAGUCAAAGGAAAGAGACAUACAUUGUAGAAUUGUAGUAAUUGUGGGCUGACUGAUUUACUGAUUAUCAGUAUUUUAUUUUUUACUGAUUUACGGUAAUAAAUACAUUUAAAAAUGG